rnacentral:rRNA from 1 species
CGGCGGACGGGUGAGUAACACGUGGGUAACCUGCCUGUAAGACUGGGAUAACUCCGGGAAACCGGGGCUAAUACCGGAUGCUUGAUUGAACCGCAUGGUUCAAUCAUAAAAGGUGGCUUUUAGCUACCACUUGCAGAUGGACCCGCGGCGCAGUAGCUAGUUGGUGAGGUAACGGCUCACCAAGGCGACGAUGCGUAGCCGACCUGAGAGGGUGAUCGGCCACACUGGGACUGAGACACGGCCCAGACUCCUACGGGAGGCAGCAGUAGGGAAUCUUCCGCAAUGGACGAAAGUCUGACGGAGCAACGCCGCGUGAGUGAUGAAGGUUUUCGGAUCGUAAAACUCUGUUGUUAGGGAAGAACAAGUACCGUUCGAAUAGGGCGGUACCUUGACGGUACCUAACCAGAAAGCCACGGCUAACUACGUGCCAGCAGCCGCGGUAAUACGUAGGUGGCAAGCGUUGUCCGGAAUUAUUGGGCGUAAAGCGCGCGCAGGCGGUUUCUUAAGUCUGAUGUGAAAGCCCCCGGCUCAACCGGGGAGGGUCAUUGGAAACUGGGGAACUUGAGUGCAGAAGAGGAGAGUGGAAUUCCACGUGUAGCGGUGAAAUGCGUAGAGAUGUGGAGGAACACCAGUGGCGAAGGCGACUCUCUGGUCUG